CCUACGGGAGGCAGCAGUAGGGAAUUUUGCGCAAUGGGCGAAAGCCUGACGCAGCAACGCCGCGUGAUUGAUUAAGCCCUUCGGGGUGUAAAGAUCUGUCAGUGGGGACGAAACUUGACGGUACCCACAGAGGAAGCACCGGCUAACUCCGUGCCAGCAGCCGCGGUAAUACGGAGGGUGCAAGCGUUUUCCGGAAUCAUGGGGCGUAAAGGGUUCGUAGGUGGCUUAUUAAGUCUGGUUUUAAAUGGAGAGGCUCAACUUCUGUUCGGCAUUGGAUACUGGUAAGCUUGAAUGCGGUAGAGGUAAGGGGAAGUCCUGGUGUAGCGGUGAAAUGCGUAGAUAUCAGGAGGAACAUCGGUUGCGUAGGCGGUUUACUGGGCUGUAAUUGACACUGAGGAACGAAAGCCUGGGUAGCAAACGGGAUUAGAUACCCCUGUAGUC
rnacentral:rRNA from 1 species